rnacentral:rRNA from 1 species
GACAGAGGAUGCAAGCGUUAUCCGGAAUGAUUGGGCGUAAAGCGUCUGUAGGUGGCUUUUCAAGUCCGCCGUCAAAUCCCAGGGCUCAACCCUGGACAGGCGGUGGAAACUACCAAGCUGGAGUACGGUAGGGGCAGAGGGAAUUUCCGGUGGAGCGGGUGAAAAUGCAUUUGAGAUCGGAAAGAACACCAACGGCGAAAGCAGCUCUG